CUGUUUCCAAAUAAUUUAGCUUCUUCAAUCUGAUAAAGUGGUUCCUUUCUUAUUUUUAGCUUCUUUUCUUCUGAAUUCUUAUACACUCUUGGCUUUUCUUUUAUAUACUAAUGAUUUCAAGUUAUAUCAAUGCUUUUUAAAUAUUCCUUAUAUUUGAGUGUUGCUGUUAUGCCCUUUUACUAUUUAUUUAUUUUUGAAUAGAUUUAUUUUUUCGAUUUGAAAAGCUGUGUGUGUGUGUAAUUCCCUUCGAAGCCCUGCCAACUCCCAACUCCCCACACCUCAUGAAGCCUAUGACUGCCUUUUGCUUUCCUUCUGCUGUUAGUUUCCAUUUGCCUCCAAUCUUGUUAACAGUGUGUCCACAAGGUGGAGGUCAAGCUAAGACUUCCUCAACUGUUCCCGCUGCCUCAAGGAAAGAUUCUCAAAGCCACCAGCUUGGGCAUGCCAUUCUCUAUUCUUACCAGAAAAGCAGCAGCAGCAACAAUGAAAAUAAUAGAAGAGGAUCGCAAACUCCUCCAAGAAGUCAAAGUGAUUCUUUCAAAAGCUUCCGUGACACCCAUAACAACUUAUCAAGAUUUGGAGAGCUUUUCUAGGAAUCCCUCCAGGAGCUGGUGUUUAAAGGUAGAGAGGAUCAUAAAAUCGAGGAUUGAGAGCAGAAGCAAGGCAAUGCAUUGGAAUGUUCAUCUUUUCCCAUCUUGCUAACAUAAUUGUUUCCAUAUGAGGGUAGGAAGCUGCAUAUUUAUUUUUCAUCAUUAUAUCUUUUAUUUCUCCAAUCAUGUUGUCCAUCCUUUCAUAAAUCUCCCCCAUUUUUGGACCUUCGCCAUCGCUGAAUUUGAUUAGGAAAUAGAUUGGCUUGGUAAUUGCAAAAACACUUUUAACAUCUUCCCAAAACUCUUCACUGAUUAUUGUUUCAGCAACUAAAGGUCCUAUCUUCCUUGUAUUUUCAUCUCCAUGUUUCACCCAUUCUUUCCAUGCCUUAAGAAUAAUGGUGGUUUGUAGAGCCUCUUUGCAAUCAAGCAGCCACUUCAAUAAGAUAUAGUGUGAAGCAAAUCUGGUCUUUGUAACUUUUAGCAAUUUUAGCCUUGACUGAGUUUUGAAAAUUGCUAAAGCUUGUGAAUGAUUAAUGAAAUAUUUGACAAUGGUUUUUCCCUUUUUAUAUGUGCUUGAUAACCAAUCAAAUGUACUGGCAAAAUCUUUAAAAACUAAAUUCAGAGUGUGAACUACACAGGAGGACUAGAAAAUAUGUUUAUGUACCUUCUCUAUCUCCUUCCCAGCUGCUUUGCAAUUUGAUACAUUAUCGGUCACCACUUGGAGAACAUUUGAUGGCCCUACUUCUUCAAUUGCUUUCAACAAAUACUUUGCUAUAACAGAACCAGUUUUUUCUUUUCCUGAACAUUGCUCCAUGACUGUUUGCUGCAAUGACAUUGAUAAGUGGUCGGUGCUUGACAUUAGACCAUCUAUCCGAAAUAAUAGACACCCCUUGAGUGUACCAGGUAUCUUUUAUUGGACUCAGGUCUUUUGCAACACUUCUUUUGCACUCAUCUAGUAGUGUUGUCCUUGCCUUUUCAAAUGAGGGAGCUUUAUAACCUUUAGGGGCUUUGUUAAUUGCUGAAACCAUCUCAUUGAAUUGAGAAUUAUGCAGCACAUUGAAGGGAAUGCCAUUAGCACACAACCCUCUCAUUACCUUCAUAUCAACUGCAUUCCACUCUAUUAUUCCAAGGGAAUCUUCAAUACCUUUAGCAGGAAGUUCUUUACUUUUUUUGCUGAUUGUAGAACUUUUUAAAGGUGAUGACAGACCUGCCUUCUCUGCUUCUUCAACCUUCCUUCUCACUCUUUCAUAUUCAGCCCGGUUGCUAAGAAGUGCUGGGCAACGUUGAAUUUGUGCCUUCAUCCCAGGUGGACCAAAAAAGCGAUAAUGUAUUCUAGUAUAGGAACUUGUGAAUCUCUUUUUGCAAUGUUUACAUGACCAUUGCUUUGAACCCCAGAAUUCUUUCUGGGCAUUGCACCGUGAAUAACAACUUCAUCUAGCAAUGGCUUUAAUUUUAAAUCUAUUGCUUUUGUGGGUGCAAAUAAUGGUAUUGAUUUUUGAGUUGGUUGAGUUUGGUCAAUUUCUUGAUAAUCAUCACUUGAAUCUUCUUGCUCUCCAUCUGUUUCUUCUUCAGAUAAAAGCUCAUUUAAUUUUCUUUUCUGGUACACCAUUUUUCAACAAGAGAAAGAUGAUUUUUAGUUUGAUGGAAAGGACAAAGGAGUUUUGGUUGGGCGUAAUUUGGACUACCUGGAGAAGAGGAGGGAGACAGGCCUAUGGAGGGGCGGCUGGAAGAAUAUAAUAAUAUAUAUGACUCUCCUUUUUAUUCCACUAGUAUUGAUCAACGUGAAUCCUUUACUAUAAUUUAUUCUGACUAAUACCAGCAAGCAAAGUCUUUCAAUUCCAAUGACUUUUAAAUGCAAGCAAAGUCUUUCAAUUCCAAUGACUUUUAAAUGCUUAAUUUGCUUCGCUAUAAUCCCCUAUCUUAUCAUAUUUUUCUUUCCAAUAGGAAGGAGGGAGAUAGGCCUAUGGAGGGGUGGCUGGAAGAAUAUAAUAAUAUAUAUGACUCUCCUUUCUAUUUCACUGAUAUUGAAAGUCCAUGUGAUUCUUUUUCUAUGAUUUAUUCUAACUAAUACCAACCAAGCAAAGUCUUUCAAUUCCAAUGACUUUUAAAUGCUUUAUUUGCUUUGCUGUAAUCCCCUAUCUUAUUAGAUUUUUUCAAGUUCCAAUGACUUUUAAAUGCAUAUUGGGAUUCACCUCCGGUAUAUGCCCAGAGAAAUCAGUCUACGGAGGGUGAAGCCUUCAUCUCCUGUAAUCCAAACCUCUCAGUGCAUAUCAACUUUAUACGAAAUUUUCUAUUUAUCUCGAAUUCAGGUUCUCUCCUCUCUAUGGUUAUUUUUCUGGUAAAAGUUUGUAUAGUGUUUGGGUCGCCAAUUUCAGCGAAUUGGGAUGCGUAUCGCAGCGUUUUGGUACGUAAACGUGCUGCGAAUUGGGACGCGAGAUCCAGUACGCGAUUCCAGGGGAGUAGGACGAAUCUGGGGAAGCGUUUGGAUGAUGAUGAUGUCAACCAUACUCUUGAUCGGAUUAUCUUGGAAGCAAAUGCAAACACCAUUGCUGGAGAGGUUGCAACUGGCAACUAAUGCCGUUGAUGGUGUUGUUCCAAUUUCUGAGCAGGCAAUGUCUCAAGCCCUUGCUACACCAAGAGAGCAUGUACCAAGAUCUCUUCUGAAAUGAUGGGAAUACAGGAAGAAGAACAGCUAUCACCAUCAUUGCCAUUGUUGUUCUGAAGACCAGUGACCUGCAUAACCAUAGCCAGAACUUCAUCAUCAUCCUCUUCUUUUGAGGAACAUGCAAAUGUGCUGCAAGUUUUAAAGAGUAGAAAACUGGUUUUCAUAGUUUUGGAAGCAGUCCGUUGAAGACUAAAAUUGACAGGAUAAAAUGGCGUAUACGGGAAAUUUUAGAUUACCUAUAUGGAAUUGCAAGGUGAUUCAUAUUGUUGGUGUGCUGGACUUGUUUACUACUUCCUGCGGUGUUUCCCAGACUUGAUUUUACGCUCUCCAAAAGAAAAAGGAGACAAAUGGAUUACAUGUUGAUACAGCUGUGUUUUCUCAAAAUUAUGAGU